GGAGAAGAGAGAAAAUAGUUUAGGUUCUUCAGCUGCUCCUUUUAGACCUCAUUCUGUGGAAGGGUGAAACAUAAGUCCUGGCAGGAUGUUACAGCCAAAUGGUAGAAGAAAGCAGGCUGCCGUAUGGAGAGCUGUGCUGGGCAGAGGCAGCAGAGGGUCCUGCCUAAGGUCACCUUGCCUGUGCCAGAAGAGGCUUCCCUGGCAAUGAAGAGUACGUCACUUCUGAAAAGCAGCCAUGCUCACUGCUUUUACCUGCCUGCAGCACCUUGCCAUGGGGCAGAGGAGGAACACAAAGGCUGCCUCCACUCUCACAAGCAUCUCAAGCAUCUUCUCCUCCUUGAGCUGCUUUCCCCAAAGCUUGCGUGGUUCCUGAGCACUCAGCCAAGCCUUUCAGGUAGCCAGCACUGUUCACAUCAUAUUACAACAGGAUGCUUAUGA
rnacentral:lncRNA from 1 species